AAGGACAGGUGAGUGAAUGCUGAAACUGCCUUGCUGGAUAAAUUGGCCAUAUAUACAAACCUGGUUAUUGGCUGGCUGCAUGCAAAGGUCACCCAUUGUAUUACAUCACAGUUGGGUAACGUGUCAUUGGCCAUUGUCUUCUGGCUAUAAAAAAGCCAGCGAUGGCCAGCUCAAGCCUUAAGCUCUCAAAGGCCCAUCAAGAGCAGGUGGUGCUCCAGCUGCAAAGAGCUUGAAAGACAAAAGACACCAUCUGAAAUGGCAAGAUUCAGACGCAGCCGGAGCAGAAGCCUCAGUCGCCGUCGCCGUCGGCGGCGACAUGGUGGCAAAGGUGGAAAGAAACGUGGACGGCGACGUGGCAGGAAAGGGAAAGGUAAAAAGGGAGGUCACAGGAGGAGGAGAAGACGACACAAGAAGGACUAAAUAAAAGUCCCUCUUCAUCGUCUCUGGCAUCCCCUGAUUCCCCACACUGCUUGCCUCUGGAGCACCUGCGAAACAGAACAAAAAAGACACAAACCUUCUCAGAAACACCCAGGAUGACUUCCCCACCAUCAAGGAGGCUGAAACAAUUUGAACAAACCACCUGUCAAUAAAACAUUGGACAUUU